UCGUCUGUACUCCGCGCCUGCGCGUUUGAAAUAUGAUAAUGUUGUUGAUAUGCUAUGCUAGCUAGCUAGUGGAGUUGUUUUUGCAUAUUAGGUUACCAUUAAUUUACUCUCUUCACUGUCUCGCCACUGUAUCAAGAUAAACCCGAAAACGCUCCGCAUGAAGGGCUGAUGGAAAACGCAAGAGAUACGGCUGAACGGACUGUUCGUUCAGAAAGGAAGAGGCGGGACUCGUUUGGGAUGUUCGAUGGCUAUGACAGCUGCAGUGAGGAUUCCAGCAGUAGCUCGAGCUCAGAGGACAGUGAUGAAGAGGUUCCCUCCCUCCCUGCCAGCCUGCCCAUCAUCAAGACCAACGGCCAGGUCUACACCUACCCCGAUGGGAAGGCAGGAAUGGCCACCUGUGAGAUGUGUGGGAUGGUGGGAGUGAGAGAUGCUUUCUACUCCAAAACCAAGCGCUUCUGCAGUGUAUCCUGUUCAAGGAGUUACUCAUCCAACUCUAAAAAAGCCAGCAUACUGGCCAGACUGCAGGGUAAACCCCCCACGAAAAAGGCUAAAGUAUUACAGAAACAGCCUCUCAUGGCGAAGUUGGCUGCCUAUGCCCAGUACCAAGCCAACCAACAGAAUCAAGUCAAAUCAAAAACAGUGAUUCCUGUGAAAGGCUUUGAUUGGGGACGCUACAUAGGCACCGGCGACAUUAACGGGGCACCUGUCGGCUGUUUCAAACACGUUCCCAUGGGAACUUCCUGGGGUGACCUUGCAGAAGGGGUGAGGGUAGAGGUGCCCAAUACAGACAGCGGCCUGCCAAUGAAGGUGUACUGGAUAGCAGGAGUUAUCAAAUUAGCAGGCUUUAAGGCACUGCUACGGUACGAGGGGUUUGAUGGUGACUCUGGCAGGGAUUUCUGGUGUAACAUCUGUGUCCCUGACAUCCACCCGGUGGGCUGGUGUGCAGCCGGAGGAAAGCCCCUGGUUCCUCCCAAGUCCAUUCAGCACAAGUGCACCAACUGGAAAGCGUUUCUUGUGAAAUGCCUAACAGGAGCAAAGACUCUACCUAUUGAUUUCUCCACCAAGGUGCAGCAGAGCAUGCAGUUCCCCUUUAAGAAGCUGAUGCGUGUGGAGGUGGUGGAUAAGACUCACCUGUGCCGGACGCGGGUGGCCCUGGUAGAGCAGGUGAUCGGAGGUCGGCUUCGGCUCGUCUACGAGGAGUGCGAGGACGGCUCGGACGACUUCUGGUGCCACAUGUACAGCCCACUGAUACACAGCAUCGGCUGGUCCCGCGGCAUUGGACACCGCUUCAAGAGAUCUGAUGUUUCAAAGAAACUUGAUGGCCAAGUAGAUGCCCCAGGACAGCUUUUUGCGAAGGUGAAGGAUGUUGACCAGAGCGGGGAGUGGUUUAAAGAUGGCAUGAAGCUGGAGGCUAUUGACCCUCUGAAUCUAUCAGCUAUUUGUGUUGCUACUGUCAGAAAGGUCUUGGCGGAUGGAUACCUCAUGAUUGGAAUUGAUGGUUCCGAGGCGGCUGAUGGUUCUGACUGGUUCUGCUAUCACUCCACCUCUCCCUCUAUCUUUCCUGCUGGAUUCUGUGAAAUCAACACAAUUGAACUCACCCCUCCACGUGGGUACACAAAACUCCCAUUCAGAUGGUUUGACUACCUCAGGGAAACGGGUUCAGUGGCAGCUCCGGUGAAGCUCUUUAACAAGGAAGUUCCAAACCAUGGGUUCCGCCCUGGCAUGAAGCUGGAGGCUGUGGACCUGAUGGAGCCCCGGCUGGUGUGUGUUGCCACAGUGACACGUAUUGUACAUAGACUGCUGCGCAUCCAUUUUGACGGCUGGGAGGACGAGUAUGAUCAGUGGGUGGACUGUGAAUCACCUGACCUAUACCCUGUGGGCUGGUGUCAGCUGACUGGCUACCAGCUACAGCCACCAGCUGUGCUCGCCUCUAGAGAGCUCCCUCUGAGUGUGACAAAGCAGAAGAAGAAAUCCCAGCAGUACAAAGGCCAAAAGAAAAGGCAAAGCUGCACUCGCCACGGCUCAUCACGAUUCUUGCUCUGUGGGCAUCUCUAUUCACACCAACACAGAGCAUUGAAACCAAGUCGAAACUCUCCUACACCGGAUUAAUUUUCGUACCAGUGUGAAGCUGUUAUUAGAGGAUUAGACCUCAGGCUAAAGAAAAAUCUUCAUUGCCUGCAAUAAAAGACAAAUUAUUUGAUUAUGUAGAUCUUUUUAUGGUAUGCUUCGUUUUAUCUGUUCAUUCAGUCUUUGUUAGUCAUGCUGGACAUUACAUCAAGCUUUUCCUGAAUAACUUAGAUUUCUUAGACAUUUUUACCUAGAUUGGAAUAUUUAAAUUUGACUUUAUUGAUGAUUAAUAACACUUAAGUAGCCACACGUCAAAAGAGCAAAGGCAUAAGAAACACGAAAGUAACAGAAGAGCUGAUCAACCAUUUUACCCUUUGUCUUGGUUUUUAGAGAGGAAGAUCCCCAUUGGUAAGAGACCAGUGAGUUUGUCGGGGGUGGUAUUGAGUGGAGUGCCCCAGAGGAACCUAUCUGGAGACGAGAACAUGACCCCGCCAGACUACCCAUCUCCUCCCACGCCAGCAUCUGCCUCUGGGACUGCACAGCCUCCCUCGGCAGCCCAGGAAGUCAGCCCCAAUGGAAAGCCAGGGGUGACAAUGCAGCUGAAGGAGGAGGUUCAGGAGGCAGACGAGUUCACCUUCCCGCAGGGCACAGCCUCCGACCUGGAGAGCAAUGGCUCCGGCGGCAGCUACUACAUCAAGCAGGAGACCUGAGCCUCCGUGGGGCACUGCUGCACCCACCAACGGAGGGCCAGCCUGGGGGCAAGAAGGAGUCAGUCCCCUCCCUCUCCCUCCACAGCACCAGAGACCAUGGGCCCUGGGUGGCAUCCCCACAACAUUAACAUGGAAGGUCACCAGGGGGCUUCAAGCUGUGCUCAUAGAGACUUGGGACAGAGCGACUCAGACUAGUUCCAAACAGACAGGUCAAACGGGGAGAGGAGUGUAGAGAAUAAAGGGAAAAAGAGAGGUGUGUGUGAAUGACAAUAACUUUGUUUCAGUUCAGUUUUUUGUACUUCAACAACAACAAAGAAGAAGCUUUUUUACGAUUUUUUUCUAAUCCGAUAUCUUUUUGUGCAUCUCUCGUAUUCGUUACAUUGAGGUAGGGUAAUCUUUCGAUGGAUAAACUGUGUGAUGUUUGUGUAUAUAUAACAGGGUGUAUGUAGGUAUUGAAUGGACUAAACCUUACUGGUAUAAAACAAUCACUCAGAUAUAAAGUAGAAACACCACCAAUCAGCUUCAUACCAGUUCCGUACAUUCAACUAAGAUUUGAGCAGUUUACCACAUUCUCUGGAUCUUGCAUUCCAUUUAUGUGAUAGCCAAUAAUGACUUACAGCUAUCACUGGGACAUGACCAGAGCGAAUGUGGGAGAGCCCCAAAUCUUCAGUUGACCCUUUUCUAUCACUAUAUUUACCAUGCCUUAUUUAAAAUAUGUUUACAAAUAUUACUCCUCUUGGCCAGCUGAUUGCAGGCAAAUUUUUGUCAAAUCUAAACAUUUCUACUCUUAUGAAAAACAGGUCAUUCACUGUGGUAAUAUUUAGUUCUAUCACAGUUUACUACACAAUGAUAUGCAAACCUUGACUCUUGUGUCAAGUAAUAGAGAUCUAUGUGAAAUGUUUUAUAUCUAACAUAGCAUUAUUCUACAUGAAUUAUGUCAUAAUUCAGAGAGAUACUAUAAAUAUGAGUAGAGGAAAUAUUCAAGUCACUGUAAUAUUCGGGCUGUGUUUCAUCAGUACCGUCAACAACAUGAGAAACGUUUUAUCUGAAUAGAGAAUUUACUGUCUUUGUAAAAGAAAAACUUCAUAAUGCUGUUUGCUCUACCUCUUUUAGAACUUUUAAUGUAAUCUCCUGUUGCAAGGUUUUCAGAUUCUGGUCAAACCACACGUAAAGGUGACUUUCAUUACAAUUUAAAUCACUUUGACAGCUAUGUGUGCAUAUUUCCUAGUAAGUGUUUGGUAGGCCUGGGCUAAAUUGUCAUACUCACUGACUCAUGAUCAUACAUUUUAUUCAUAGGCCAUCCUUUCAUUGGGAGAUAUUAAAUGAAUGUCAAUAUUGAUUUAUAAAACAAAAUAUAUCACAUUAAAUGUGUAUUUAUGAACAAAGUAUGCAGUAUAUAACAGAGCCAAUUUACAAACAUGAUAUGGUGAUUUAUUUUGUGCCAUAUGAGAAAUUAAAGAGGGAUUAUAAUUUACAUACUAUAUAUACUAGCGACUGCACUCCGUUGUCUUACUUUAUAUACCAGUAAGGUUGACAAUUUACUCUCAGGAAAUCUUAGCGUAUUGUAUUAUAGGCUUCUUCUUCGUUGUUAAGGUUAUUGAGAACGGUGUUGUCAUUGGCUGUUGGCAUGCUGAACUUAGACUUCAGAGAUUGAUGUGGUCAACAGUAUUAAUAAAAAUGUGUUUAGUCCAAGAUCGGUCUUAAAGUAAAUGUGUCACUUGGUAAACCAUCUCACUAAUGUAGAGAGACCUAUUUGAUGUGAUACAAGGUCCCAUUUUAAGUGGAUUUGUCAUAUAUGCUGUCUCUAGAGGUAGGAUUACCCUUCUGUGUGUCACUGUUUGAUAAUGUGUAGGUGUUUGUUUUGAACUUUUCUUUUUUUGCAAAAAUGUUCAGUUAAAUGUUAGCUCUGUCGAUUUGUCUUACUGUUGUUACUGUAUGUUUCAAUGUCUGGUCCUGAGUGAAACUCAAACUAGUAUUAUAGUCUCAAUGAAAAUGUACAUUUUACGUGCUGGCUGGUGUAAACCAGCUCAGGUGACCUUGGUGAUGCCAAAGAUUGCCUAAGGUCACUGUCAAGCAAUAACGUCUUAUCACAGUACUCUCCUAAUGUUACAUUUUACCCUAAAUGUCAUAAUAAUGAACAAGGUUUGACAGGCACACGGUAGCUAAAUAUAUGGUACAGAGGCAUAUCUGUUGCAAAUGCUCCCAAUUUCACCCUACAUUAGGUUUGGGAGACAGUGAGAUCAUAAGCUUUUAGCUGUACUUUCACUCAAACUUCAGACUGUGCAUCAAAGACCGAAUGGUGGAAAUAUACAUGACAUUAUGUUAAUAUAUGGCAUGACUGUUUUGAGGCGACAAACAUUGUCUCCGUCGUCCUUGUAACACAAAUGUUAGACACGAGAAUUCAUGGUAUUUGAAUGAAGAAAAAAAUAAAACGCACAAAUGGACUCAAUAUAGGGCUACACUGUUCUGAUCAUGACGUUCAUUGAUUUCAAAUGCAUUAUUUCAUAUUAUAAUCAAUAUCAAAGAACAAGACUAUAGGGUGUGUUUGUUAAAACCAAAAUAUGUGCAUGCAGCAGUGUGAACAUCUCCUCCUGUGCUUAACUAGUUGGUCUUGGCACUAACACAGGUCUGUGUGUAUGUGUGCUUGUUUCUAUUGUGAAACCUGUUCAUAUUGUCCUUGUAUUCUGGUGCUAUAUACAUAUAUUUGAUAAAGUCAUAACCUUUUAAGAAUGAAAUGAUUUUCAGAAACUGUGACCAUAGUGGAGAAAUGCAGUUCUCUCUUAUUUUGGAUACAACUAUAAUGAAAGAUUUGUAAUGAAUUAACUGUCAAAACACAAAUCUUCAUCCAAGUAUAUAGUUUUUGUUCCUUGGUUUCCAUUGUAAAUGUGCUGUGAACAUGAAGUUUACUAAGCUACAGUAUAUCAACUACAGAAGUUUAGGAAAAUAUGUAUUUGAAGAUAUUUAGAUGUUUACUUUCAUUUAAUAUUUUUAAUGAAUCUUGCAGCAUGUUUGUGGAACAAGCAUUCAUGUAAAAUAAAUUAUUCACAACUUUUUUUUUACACUGCAUAAAAGUACAGUA